CUCUACAGCCAUAUCACCCUGAACAUGCCCAAUCUUGUCUGAUCUCAGAAGCAGAGCAGGGUCAGGCCUGGUUAGUACUUGGAUAGGAGAAGUGUUGAAU
ensembl:rRNA 5S_rRNA 5S ribosomal RNA